rnacentral:misc_RNA from 1 species
AAUCCAUCCGAUACUGACUGCUUGGAGAGCGGUCUCUGAUUUUUUCGAACUUUUUUGAACGAAUGUACUCGCUUUUUUAUCGAGUAUAAGAAUGGUUCAUCUCCACAAACUUCAUCGGAGCAGGGCUCACCGACCCGGAUUUGAAUAAUGUGCUCCAGAUGAAAAUAGUGAAACUGGUCGAAGGUAUUUAGUUGUUGUGGAUGGAUCCAUGCUACAAACGAUCAAAAAUUGGGUAUCUUCAUGGUCUUCUAUGACAACUACAAAAGAGUCGCCCUACUCGAUCCCAUGUACACAACCGAACCCAAAACCCCAAUCAAGCUGGAAAAAAUCAAGUUCAUUCCCUACUUUGGCUGCUUCGAAAAAGUAAAAAAAAUUUUUGAUAAAAUAAAUCAGUUUUAUAUUUUAUAUUUUUCUUUUUUGCGUUUCCAUGAGUUGAAUCACUUUCCCCUUAUUAUAUGUAUCUAUCUGAUUUUUUUUUUUGAAUAUAUAACGUUUCGAUCCAUGACUUCAGGGUUGUUACCUUUGGGCGUUUGUGUGAUGCUCCAUUUUUCUUCUGAUUUUUUGUGA